rnacentral:rRNA from 1 species
UACGUAGGUGGCAAGCGUUGUCCGGAUUUAUUGGGUUUAAAGGGUGCGUAGGCGGCCUUAUAAGUCAGUGCUGAAAUAUCCCGGCUUAACCGGGAGGGUGGCAUUGAUACUGUAGGGCUUGAGUAAAGUUGAGGUUGGCGGAAUUGACGGUGUAGCGGUGAAAUGCUUAGAUAUCGGGAGGAACACCAGUGGCGAAGGCGGGCAUCUGGGCCAACACUGACGCUGAGGCGCGAAAGCUAGGGGAGCAAACAGG